rnacentral:lncRNA from 1 species
CUACAAUGGUACCAGUAUAAUGUAAAGAGGGAGUAAAAGAUCAUCCCUAGGAGAUCCCCUUGGAAGAAUUUAUGGGAGGCAUUGACAAGAGUAGCACAGAAUUGUUCUGUAUAACUUCACAUGUGGUUUCUUAAUUUUGGGUGGAGAUAAACGAACCUAGAACUCAAAAUUUUUUAAAUGUAAAAAAAAAAAAAUUGCUUUAAAUGUAACCGGGAAAAUAUUAAAUAAAUCAAAUACACAAAAAAAGAGUUGCACAGAAUGAAGCGGCGUGGGCCUGAAUACUUGAUUGCAGAGAGGUUUUUUUCUCCCCCUGCUAAUAAAUCCUCUUCAUGUAUUCCUAGGAGUGUGAUCAUUGGGUCAAAGUGGCUCUGCUGGGCCUCAAUGCCUAGAGGCCAAGUAUGUUCAUUUCAAACCUCCCCCUUCCCCAGUUUCAGAAGGAUCAUGGAACCACAACUUUUCUAGCUAGAAGGAGACCUUAGAGAGAGCUAUCUAGUCUGAGCCCCUUCCAGAUGAGGAAACCAAGGGAGGUCAGUGACUUGCCCAAGAUCACACGGCUAGCAAAUGGUAUCACCAGGAUUAAACCACAGGUCCUCUAAUUAUACAGUUUUACUUUCUGAUGCAAAAAGUGUAUAAAGGGGACUUUUCAGAGAUCUCAUUGUCAUAUUUGUAUUGUGACUAUAUUCAAACUUUUGCUCCUUCCAGGGUCAGGAUAGGGAAUAAAUAGGGUGAAAAGGUGAUGGGGAGUAAAAAGGCAGGGAACUAGCCCGCUCCCUACUCCCCUACCACAUCUGACAUUUCUUCUGGGGAAAGUUCCAGGCAAGGCAGGCUCACAAGCUUUCCCCACCAGGGCACGCUGUUGGAUAAUUUGAAGCCGUGGUUUUCUGGAAUCAGCCCUGUGCCAGACUGCCCAAGUCUGUAGAAGUUCUCUCAAAGCCUUAAUUUUUGUCUCUUUCUGAUUGGAAGGAUCUGGCUCCCACCCCAUAAGCCUGGUCCCCCAAACUGGGGAAGGAGAGAGGAAAUAAGUCCCUUUUCGAUUUCUUUAUUGAUGAUAGCUUUCCCACUCACUUCAGGGUUACCCCCCAAGGAGAUUAGCUCCCUGAUCAACUGGAUGGGAUUAAAGGAUAUGUGUGGGUAAUUUGGAACAUCCAGGUGGCACAGCAGAUACAAUACUGAGCCUGGAGUCAGAAAGAUCUGAGUUCAAAUCCAGCUUUAG